GGGAAAAAGAUGAAAAAGUAAGGUGGGCAGAAGCAUUUUUCAAAAGCCAAAGCUAUAGCAACGUCUGACUUAAAAGUAAGAAUAAUAACAUUAAGAACAAUCUCAGACAUGACGUGGUGUUCAACGUCUUAACACAAUAAAGCUGCGAGAAGGUUUCCUCUGUCCUCUAACUCAAAUCACACAUCAGGUGUGUGUGUAACAUGGGCUGCUGCCUCCCGCAGCCCCGGGGAAGGGAACACUCAGCCCUUACCCAGGAGGUUUUGCUAAAGCGAGUCAUUCUGAUUGCUUAAGGAUGAAAGUUCUCUCCCCCAGGUUUAAGCAGCAAUUGCCCUUGCACAGCUGUGGGCAGGAGAGCAGGUGCUGGGGCUCAGCCCCAUAUCUCAGGUGGAGCAGCUCAGCUUAAUGCCCUAUAUGAGCAGGUGGGUAGGUGCUUGUAGCAGUUUUCUGCUUUGCUAUAGCUUUUAGAGAUGUUUUUUUGCUUCUCAGGUGACUCUGUAGGAGACAAAUCCCAGCCCUGCCUCCAGCCCCACCACUUUGCUUUUUCCAUCUCCUCUGCCAGGUGCACGUGGUGUGGGACCAGGCUGAACCCAGCAGCAAGCCUGGGGGAUGCCUUGUGCAAGAAGCUUGUCCUGGCUCUCUGUGUUCCAGCAGUUCCUGCCUGAAGUUGUGGAGAGCGCGGGCCUCGGAGUGAGAAAGUACACAAGCAGCUGAAGCACACUAGUUUUAAAAGGUAACCUUUUUUUAAUUGUGAGGCUUGGCAGCACUGAAAUCACACACAAACCCCAGCCUUGUGAUGGUUCAAAGGUCCCAACAGACACUGCCGAAUGCACAAACUGUCCUCCUCACGUGGACAAAUCCCACUAAACUCAUGCUCAUACUGCUGGAGUUGGAGGUGCAAAUAACCUCAGAUCAACCACUGCAAUGCCUGUAUCUGGGUCUGGGGCACACUGCCGUUCUUCCAUCAAUGUUUUAAGCACCGUGAGCUUUGCAGCACGAGGGGCAGCAGCCCACAGUCCACACGCUGUUCCAACCACUGCUUCAGAGCAAGGCCUGGGGUAGAGGCGCUGCCUGUUCCCAACUUCUUCCCCAAGCAGUGACAACCACAGUUUUUGGGUGUCACGAUAGGGAGCACCCUCAGCACCGCACGUCAGCUUUGUCUUGUUUGAGAGCCUUGUUUGUUUGCACAGCCACGUUACAACAACAGGAAGAGCUGAUGGCAUCUGGGUGCAUCCCACCAGCACCAACCAGUGGCACACCAGUGAGCAAAAAGCAAAAUGCACAACAGGUCGUGAGAUGUGUGCUGGAAUAUUUUGUUCUCAUGUGGGCGCUUUGAUAAGGAUGCAGACAGGAACACGGCGUGUGUAAGGGAUAUAGAAAGAAGCCCUGGGUGCGGGGACCGAGGGCCGUCCUGCCACUCUCAGAGGACGACAGAGAGCAGCAGAGACUUUGGAGGUCUCAGCGUUGUGGACAACGGGCAGGCUGCAUUGGAAGAAGCCCCCCGCAGCGCCAGCAGCACCGCGCCGAGCGGGGGGGCCCGUGACUCAGUGCUGGCGGCGACGGCGCCUUUAAAUGGUCGGUCUGUGGCCCCCGGAGCUUCAGUUGGCCGCCGUGCCGUGCCGUGC